rnacentral:rRNA from 1 species
CCCUUAGAUGUUCUGGGCCGCACACGCGCUACACUGAAGGAGGCAGCGUGUACUCCUGGAUCGAAAGAUUUGGGUAACCCGCGAAUCUCCUUCGUGCUAGGGAUUGAGGUUUGCAAUUAUCCUUCAUGAACGAGGAAUUCCCGGUAAGUGCAAGUCAUAAGCUUGCGCUGACUACGUCCCUGCCCUUUGUACACACCGCCCGUCGCUACUACCGAUUGAAUGAUUUAGUGAGGACUUCGGACUGGGACCGAUGCGGCUUUCGGGCUGCGUCGGUAUUCUGGAAAGAUGUCCAAACUGUAUCAUUUAGAGGAAGUAAAANUCGUAACA